GUCUGCUUCAGUAGAUUGCCUUUUUAUCUGCUUCAGGAGGCUCUUACAAUCCGGUGAAACGACACCACCACGCACUCAGCGUAUUCCAAUAGACGCCUCGUGAGCAGCGGUUGCCUUUCCCCAUGAGCUCCCCUGUCCCGCGAUCCCGUUUAUGGCAUCUCUCCUCUUGAGCCCUGAGGAGAGACAGAGGGCGUGUGAGACACCAGGUCUGCAACAGGCUGCCAUCAUGUCAGGGCUUUAUUUCUACUUCAUCAUUGUCUCGUACAGACUCCGAGCCACCGUCCUUUGUUCCAAUCCGGCAUCCUCAUGUGCCAUAUUUUUCCCGUAAACAGAAAAUUUUGAGUAAACACUGCGUAUUGUCAGUUCAUCUUUUAACAAUAAUUUAAAAAAGCCACGGAUGUUGUAUCAUCGAUGCAAGAAGACGACAAAAGUACAGUACGAGGGAACUCACAAUGUGCACAACGGGACGACUCACUCGGGCGAUGGCGAGCCCACAGCAGCAGUAUGUACAUGCACCCCAGCGCCUCGAACCCGAAGACGUGCAAGUCGAUAGAAUAUGUGGAUUAUACAAAGAAUUGGGUGAGCCCCGCUGAGGAGGCGGCGCCCUUUUCCUAAACGCUGACAUGUGUUCCCUCCAGCAUAUAGGGCAUCUGUCUUGACUAUUGGCUUCCUGACUUUUUCACUACAAAAAGUUCAUUUUAUCAGACGGUCUGAAGUUUUCAAAAAAUCUUAAAAA